UACGAGUGGAGCGAGCGUUGUUCGGAAUCACUGGGCGUAAAGCGUGCGCAGGCGGUCAUGAAAGUCAGAAGUGAAAUCCCAGGGCUCAACCUUGGAAUUGCUUUUGAAACUCCAUGACUGGAGUACUGGAGAGGUUGGCGGAAUUCCGAGUGUAGCAGUGAAAUGCGUAGAUAUUCGGAGGAACACCAAUGGCGUAGGCAGCCAACUGGACAGUAACUGACGCUCAUGCACGAAAGCGUGGGGAUCAAACAGG
rnacentral:rRNA from 1 species